rnacentral:rRNA from 1 species
GAGUACUAUACAGUAAAGCCGAACGUUCUAUUCAAUGUUGUUUGAAGCUCUCGAAGAUUGGAAGCCCCGCCACGAAAGUGACUUUACCAUCCCUGAAUCCACGAAAGCCAGGGCA